CCCUUAGACGUUCUGGGCCGCACGCGCGCUACACUGACCAGUGCAACAAGCAUCCGUCCUUGGCCGACAGGCCCGGGCAAUCUUUGAACGCUGGUCGUGAUGGGGAUAGACUUUUGCAAUUUUUGGUCUUCAACGAGGAAUUCCUAGUAAACGCAAGUCAUCAACUUGCAUUGAUUACGUCCCUGCCCUUUGUACACACCGCCCGUCGCUCCUACCGAUUGAGUGCUCAGGUGAAUAAUUCGGACUGCAGCAGUGUUUGGAUCCCGAACGCUGCAGCGGAAAGUUUAGUGAACCUUAUCACUUAGAGGAAGGAGAAGUCGUAACA
rnacentral:rRNA from 1 species